GGAGCUCAGUAGGUAGAGUGCUUGCCUUGCAUGCACAAGGCCCUGGGUUCAAUCCCCAGCACCA
rnacentral:tRNA from 1 species